GACGAACACUGGCGGCGUGCCUAAUACAUGCAAGUCGGGCGGAAGUUGAAGAGCUUGCUCUUCAACUUUAGCGGCGGACGGGUGAGUAACACGUGGGCAACCUGCCCUGCAGAUCGGGAUAACUCCGGGAAACCGGUGCUAAUACCGAAUAGUUUUCGCCACCUCCUGGUGGCGUACGGAAAGACGGUUUCGGCUGUCACUGAAGGAUGGGCCCGCGGCGCAUUAGCUAGUUGGUGGGGUAACGGCCCACCAAGGCAACGAUGCGUAGCCGACCUGAGAGGGUGAUCGGCCACACUGGGACUGAGACACGGCCCAGACUCCUACGGGAGGCAGCAGUAGGGAAUCUUCCGCAAUGGACGAAAGUCUGACGGAGCAACGCCGCGUGAGUGACGAAGGUUUUCGGAUCGUAAAACUCUGUUGUGAGGGAAGAACAAGUACCACUUAACUACUGGUACCUUGACGGUACCUCACCAGAAAGCCACGGCUAACUACGUGCCAGCCGCCGCAGUAAGAC
rnacentral:rRNA from 1 species